rnacentral:snoRNA from 12 species
AAUCUGUGAUGAAAAUUUACUGUGCCGAAGACGAGUCUUUCUCGUCGGUGAUGGUUCACAACCCUCUAAGAAGUUCUGAGCUC